AGCUCAUUUUGGAUUCUGCCCAUUUUUUCCUUCUGACUGCCACCACUGCAAGCAAGGGAAGUGAGCCUUGCUCCUGUGUUGCCUGGGAUGUGGAAGUGACACCUGUCUGUAUUCCCUCUGGUAAACCUUUUUCGAACACUGUCCUUUAUAGCUGUUUAGAAGCCCUCCCAGACUCCAGAAGGCUGAAGCCAAGAGGAUUCUACGGAGGCCUCCCAGAAGAGUACAGGAAUCUCCAUCCUUAUUCUGCUAACUUUGAGUUGAGCCAUGUGACUUGCUUUGGUUAAUGGGAUGUUAAUGAAUUUGACGCAGCAGAAGCUCUGAAUAAACUUGAAUGUUUUUUCUUGCUGCUUAUACCUUUGCCACCUGCCAUGAGUCACUAGUCCUGGAAUGAGAAGAAACAUUGAGCACACCUGAGUACAACAUGCAGCCUGGAUCCAAGCCCAGCUGACCCCAUCUGAGCCCAGCAGAACCCAGCAGUGCCACAACUGACCUACAAGCCCAUAGUAAGAAAUAGGGUUUUAAGCCGCUGAGAUUUUUUGAGUUGUUUACAGUGCAGCAGCAUCACAAAAAAUGUUCUAUAUAGAAUAAUGAAAAAUUGGAUAGUGCUAUAUUGCUUUUCAAAGCAAGCCUGUAAUGUCUUAGAUCAAUAAGUAUAAAAUGCAAGGGAUAAAUGUAAAAUAUAUAUCAUAGAUUGGAAAAUCUUGCUAAUUUAUUUGCAAUGAGUUGGGUUGGAAUUUGGAGCACAACUUCUAGAAAGUGAAGCUAGACGAAGCCCUUUCCUUAUCUAUUCCCCUACAAACAACCUAUUCAAUAAAUUUAAGUGCAAAUAUUGUUUGGCUGAAGACAGAAGAAAGAUAUUUUGGUGUGUGAUCCUCAGAAAGUGGAGGAUAAUGUAGAGGAUGGAACAUCAUUGCCACAUUCCAGUUUAGGGGAGAGGCUCAGAGCCUGGAGCCAAACUUUAAAUAUUAGCUUUCCCAUUUACUACCUGGUGUGUCCAGAAGUGUUUCAUCAGGCAUCAAGAAGAGUCACAGAAAUGUGGAGAGUCAUUCUCCCCACAUCUAUCCCUAGUCACAGAACACCUUUGGCCUCUGGUAGGGCAAGGAGGCCACUAUUAUAGGAUAUCACUGCCCGAAGGAACAGUAUUCAAGCCAUAGGUGAAGAGAGCGGAGAUAUAAAUAGGCUCAUAGAUUCUGAGCAAAACAACACAAGAUGACAUUUUUUUAAGCACCUGCUUUGAGAUCCCUCAGAAUUAACAGAGUUUUUAGAUAAAGGGCAGAUACUGCUACUAAGUAAGUAGAACAUCAGAGCUAGUGAAAUUCAUGAAUUGAUAUUAAUAUGGUAAAACCCUGAAAAGAUGUGUUACACUAUAUUUAUCCUUGAAUAGAUCCAAUUUCAACAAAUAUUUAUCAAACAUUUACUAUGUGUGAAAUAUUUUUAUGAAUAAGAAUGAAAGGAGCAUGCCUAAGGCAGUGUAACUUAUUAGUUUAUGCUUGUUUUAAGUAAAUUUCAGAUGAUGGAAGAUUGGGAAGCUGAUUUCUUUCUUAUCUCUUCAUGCUUGGAUUCAGUGUUAUUGGCGGAGCUCUAGAUUAGUGGCAGUUGAAAUGUUUGUGUUCCAGUGAUGCUCACUCACAACUGGCUAUCCUAACACCAAUCACCUGUUGGCUCUAUCAGCACAACCCCAAUUUUCUUACCUAUAAAAUGAAAAAAAAAAUUUAAACUAUUCCCAAAUUAAGAAUCUGUACAUCUACAUUUCAUACUUGAAACUCAGAGUCAGAAUCCUUUAACUUUCUCCUUAUAUUUCAAAUAUCACUGCAAUUGUAAAUUCUGUAAAGCCAGUGAAUUAAAAAAUUAAGUGGUGAUCUUGGAAAGUAAGUGGACUGGGAUUUAUUAGUUAUACUAAUCCAAAUGCCAAUACAAAACUCAUUAAGUUACAUUAUUAUAAUUCUACAUAGCAUUGCACUGAGGGUAAUGCCUCAAUUAAACCAGCAAGUAUAUCACUUGCAUUUCUGGACUGUGUUAUAUGCACACAAGGACUAAAGUGAAAUUCAGGAAAUGUGCUCAUUGAAGAGCUAAGCAGGUCCCAAACUUGAUUUUCUCGAUUUUGUUAAAGAUUUUUAUUUCUCAAACAGCACAGCAGACACUAGGGUUGAAAAAACUUAAAAAAAAAAUACAACAAUUCCUUAAGCACACUAUAGACAUGACUCAGGCAAGGUGGGACUCAUUAGCACAGACCUAAUGCCACCAGAAGGUUUUUAACUAUAUUAAAUCUCUACAUUAGAGUCAGAAUAAAACACCUUUAUAAACAGGCAGCAAAUUCUAAAACUAGUAAUAUCCAGGCUCUGAAUCUGAAUUAUUACUAUUGUUGUUUUUCUUUUUCUUUUCCUCUGGCUGAACUUACAAC